rnacentral:rRNA from 1 species
UACGAAGGGGGCUAGCGUUGCUCGGAAUCACUGGGCGUAAAGGGUGCGUAGGCGGGUCUUUAAGUCAGGGGUGAAAUCCUGGAGCUCAACUCCAGAACUGCCUUCGAUGCUGGAGAGCUUGAGUCCGGGAGAGGUGAGUGGAACUGCGAGUGUAGAGGUGAAAUUCGUAGAUAUUCGCAAGAACACCAGUGGCGAAGGCGGCUCACUGGCCCGGUACUGACGCUGAGGUGCGAAAGCGUGGGGAGCAAACAGG